GGUGGGUCCAAAGGUAGUGGGUUAUCUCACUAUCUGACUGUUCACAGUCAAUUACAGAUUGAACUCCUUGUUCUAAUACUUUCCCCCUUUCUCACUACUGCACUCGACCAGUCUUUA
rnacentral:Y_RNA from 1 species